rnacentral:miRNA from 1 species
CACCAAGCCUCACAUCACUUCGA